rnacentral:rRNA from 1 species
GGUCAAGCGAAUAAGCGCACACGGUGGAUGCCUUGGCGGUCAGAGGCGAUGAAGGACGUGGCAGCCUGCGAAAAGUAUCGGGGAGCUGGCAACAAGCUUUGAUCCGGUAAUGUCCGAAUGGGGAAACCCACCCGCUUGCGGGUAUCCUGCAGUGAAUACAUAGCUGCUGGAAGCGAACCUGGUGAACUGAAAUAUCUAAGUAACCAGAGGAAAAGAAAUCAACCGAGAUUCCGUAAGUAGCGACGAGCGAACGCGGACUAGCCCUUAAGCUGAUUUGGUUCUAGGAAAACGCUCUGGAAAGAGCGGCCAUAGAAGGUGAUAGCCCUGUAUCUGAAAGGGCCAUUUCAGUGAAGACGAGUAGGGCGGGGCACGUGAAACCCUGUCUGAACAUGGGGGGACCAUCCUCCAAGGCUAAAUACUACUGACCGACCGAUAGUGAACCAGUACCGUGAGGGAAAGGCGAAAAGAACCCCGGAGAGGGGAGUGAAAUAGAUCCUGAAACCGUGUGCGUACAAGCAGUAGGAGCUCCGCAAGGAGUGACUGCGUACCUUUUGUAUAAUGGGUCAGCGACUUACUGUUCGUGGCAAGCUUAACCGUAUAGGGGAGGCGAAGGGAAACCGAGUCUGAUAAGGGCGCAUAGUCGCGGGCAGUAGACCCGAAACCGGGUGAUCUAGUCAUGGCCAGGGUGAAGGUGCCGUAACAGGUACUGGAGGCCCGAACCCACGUCUGUUGCAAAAGACGGGGAUGAGCUGUGAUUAGGAGUGAAAAGCUAAUCGAACCCGGAGAUAGCUGGUUCUCCUCGAAAGCUAUUUAGGUAGCGCCUCAUAUGUAUCCUCUCGGGGGUAGAGCACUGUUAUGGCUAGGGGGUCAUCGCGACUUACCAAACCAUUGCAAACUCCGAAUACCGAGACGGACUGUAUGGGAGACACACGGCGGGUGCUAACGUCCGUCGUGAAAAGGGAAACAACCCAGACCCACAGCUAAGGUCCCAAAUUUUGUGCUAAGUGGAAAACCAUGUGGAAAGGCACAGACAGCCAGGAGGUUGGCUUAGAAGCAGCCACCCUUUAAAGAAAGCGUAAUAGCUCACUGGUCGAGUCGGUCUGCGGGGAAGAUUUAACGGGGCUAAGCACAAAACCGAAGCUUGGGGUGCAUAACUUUGUUAUGCGCGGUAGAGGAGCGUUCCGUAAGCCGUUGAAGGUGGAUUGAGAAGUCUGCUGGAGGUAUCGGAAGUGCGAAUGCUGACAUGAGUAACGAUAAUGCGGGUGAAAANGGAGUGAAAAGCUAAUCGAACCCGGAGAUAGCUGGUUCUCCUCGAAAGCUAUUUAGGUAGCGCCUCAUAUGUAUCCUCUCGGGGGUAGAGCACUGUUAUGGCUAGGGGGUCAUCGCGACUUACCAAACCAUUGCAAACUCCGAAUACCGAGACGGACUGUAUGGGAGACACACGGCGGGUGCUAACGUCCGUCGUGAAAAGGGAAACAACCCAGACCCACAGCUAAGGUCCCAAAUUUUGUGCUAAGUGGAAAACCAUGUGGAAAGGCACAGACAGCCAGGAGGUUGGCUUAGAAGCAGCCACCCUUUAAAGAAAGCGUAAUAGCUCACUGGUCGAGUCGGUCUGCGGGGAAGAUUUAACGGGGCUAAGCACAAAACCGAAGCUUGGGGUGCAUAACUUUGUUAUGCGCGGUAGAGGAGCGUUCCGUAAGCCGUUGAAGGUGGAUUGAGAAGUCUGCUGGAGGUAUCGGAAGUGCGAAUGCUGACAUGAGUAACGAUAAUGCGGGUGAAAAACCCGCACGCCGAAAGCCCAAGGUUUCCUUGCGCAACGUUAAUCGGCGCAGGGUGAGUCGGCCCCUAAGGCGAGGACGAAAGUCGUAGUCGAUGGAAAGCAGGUUAAUAUUCCUGCACCUCGCGUAAGUGCGAUGGAGGGACGGAGAAGGUUAGGUGUACCAGGCGUUGGUUGUCCUGGGGAAAGGCGGUAGGUUUGGAUCUUUGGCAAAUCCGGGAUCCUUUAAGACCGAGCACCGAGACGAGUCUUUAUGACAAAGUCACUGAUACCACGCUUCCAGGAAAAGCUCCUAAGCUUCAGCUUACGCAGACCGUACCGUAAACCGACACAGGUGGGUAGGAUGAGAAUUCUCAGGCGCUUGAGAGAACUCGGGUGAAGGAACUAGGCAACAUGGCACCGUAACUUCGGGAGAAGGUGCACCCUUUUUGGUGGCUCGUGCGAGCUAUAGCUGAAGAGGGUCGCAGUAACCAGGCCGCUGCGACUGUUUAUCAAAAACACAGCACUCUGCAAACACGAAAGUGGACGUAUAGGGUGUGACGCCUGCCCGGUGCUGGAAGGUUAAUUGAUGGGGUCAGCCGCAAGGCGAAGCUCUUGAUCGAAGCCCCAGUAAACGGCGGCCGUAACUAUAACGGUCCUAAGGUAGCGAAAUUCCUUGUCGGGUAAGUUCCGACCUGCACGAAUGGCGUAACGACAGCGGCGCUGUCUCCACCCGAGACUCAGUGAAAUUGAAAUCGCUGUGAAGAUGCAGCGUUCCCGUGGCAAGACGGAAAGACCCCGUGAACCUUUACUAUAGCUUUACACUGAACGUUGAGUUCGUCUGUGUAGGAUAGGUGGGAGGCUAUGAAACUGUGGCGCUAGCUGCAGUGGAGCCAUCCUUGAAAUACCACCCUGUCGUGCUUGACGUUCUAACCUGGGCCCAUUAUCCGGGUCCAGGACCGUGUAUGGUGGGUAGUUUGACUGGGGCGGUCGCCUCCUAAAGAGUAACGGAGGAGCUCGAAGGUACGCUCAGCGCGGUCGGACAUCGCGCACUGUGUGCAAAGGCAUAAGCGUGCUUGACUGCAAGAUCGACGGAUCAAGCAGGUAGGAAACUAGGACUUAGUGAUCCGGUGGUUCUGUAUGGAAGGGCCAUCGCUCAACGGAUAAAAGGUACGCCGGGGAUAACAGGCUGAUGACCCCCAAGAGUCCAUAUCGACGGGGUUGUUUGGCACCUCGAUGUCGACUCAUCGCAUCCUGGGGCUGUAGUCGGUCCCAAGGGUAUGGCUGUUCGCCAUUUAAAGUGGUACGCGAGCUGGGUUCAGAACGUCGUGAGACAGUUCGGUCCCUAUCUGCCAUGGGCGUUGGAGAUUUGAGAGGGGCUGCUCCUAGUACGAGAGGACCGGAGUGGACGAACCUCUGGUGUUCCGGUUGUCACGCCAGUGGCAUUGCCGGGUAGCUAUGUUCGGAAGCGAUAACCGCUGAAAGCAUCUAAGCGGGAAGCGCGCCUCAAGAUGAGAUCUCCCGGGGCACAAGCCCCCUGAAGGAACCAUAUAGACUAUGUGGUUGAUAGGUCAGGUGUGUAAGUACAGCAAUGUAUUGAGCUAACUGAUACUAAUGAUCCGUGUGGCUUGACCAU